UAGAAAUUUGAAAAAUUGUUGUAUUAGUAUUGUUAAAUAUCAAUUAAUGGUUUUAUUUACUACUCAAUUAAAUUUAAUAAGCCUAUUCUCUCUUGGCAUAAUCACGUGGAAUGGGUUCACUUUCACAGUUAACAAGUGACAGCACAUGUGAAAUAUUGUCUACCAGGGAAAUUCAUUGAACACUUAGUGUUCAGACUGUGUUUUUGUGUCUGGUUCCCUAAGCACCACUGCAGUGACACAAAAUAAUAGACUUUCAGCAGAAGAAGUUUUGGAAAAUAUACUGCAUAAACCAUUUAGAUGCAGUGAGUCAUUCUUAUUACUUGGGUUAGUGGAAUCCCUUUCAAAAUGUAAGUUCCUAAUACAAACAAAGAUUGAAAUUUGCGAGCAGGCAUUUUUAAGAAUAAGUAGUCUCAGGACUGAUAAUAUUAACUCACUUAUGCACAUCAGGUAGGACUUUAGUAUGACAGAUACUAGAAAUGUACAAAGUGAAGUUAAAAGGUAACUCCUAGCAGCAUAUCGUAAUCUUACUCCCUGGAUUCUCUAAUGAGAUGGGUGUUUCUACUUUGCUGUUGCCUUUUUGAAUAGUUCAAUUCUAGCAUUAGUACUGCUGUGUGGGAGGGAGUAUGUGUGAACAGAGUAAGAGUUGUGACAAUCAAGUCAUAGAAUAAAUGCUUGGAAAUUUUAGAAUCAUGUAAACAGCUUAUGAAUUGAGUAUACAUUCCCAGUGCUCUCAGUCUCACUCAUCCUUCUAUCCACAUGUGUGGAAUGUUCUAGGACUCCGUGGCUUUUGAGGAUGUGGCUGUGAACUUUACCCAGCAGGAAUGGGCUUUGCUAGAUUCUUCUCAGAAGAAUCUCUCAGAGAAGUGAUGCAGGAAACCUGCAGGAACCUGGCUUCUGUAGGAAAAAACGGAAAGACCAGAAUAUUGAAGAUCACUUCAAAAAACUUGGGAAAGAUACAAGAUAAUUUGCACCGAGAAGAGGAAAUAAAGUCCUCUGAAGGAAUCUUAGCAUGUCAUGAAUUUAAAAACAAGCAAUCAAAGCAAAUAAGAGUCACUUGAAAUUCAUUUCCUUUUAGAAAAAUUUCACCCAAAAUGUAACGUACAUCAGUGUAGCAGUCAGUGUUUGGAAAACAGUUUACUUGAAAAUAGUACUACAAAAUUGUGUAUAUGAAUGUUACUAUUUUGUUCAUAGCCAUGCAGGUGGUAGCUGUGUUUUCAGUAGUAGCCCAUUUACUUUCAAAUAGUUCAGUUAUGCCACAAAAACAAAAACAAAA